GUACACACGACACAACAUAUAAAACUAAAGAAUAAACAACACAAACCCCACCAAAAACUAGGGGUGAUCUCAGGUGCUCCGGAAGGGUAAGCAGAUCCUGCUCCACAUGUGGCACCCGUCGUGUUGCUUAUGUGAUUACAAAUCCGGUAAAUAGUCUAAUUCGGUAGGUCAUAUUCAUGAAAGGGACGGGGAUUGUAGUUACGACGUAAGGAACAUAUCCGAUAUCAUUUGUGAAACGGUUAUUCCAUAACGGUAAACCAACUCGUGAUUGCGUCCGUAAAAUUUACGAAGGGAUGAUUUCAACUUCACCAUUUGGAACUCUUGGUUUAAUAGCUUCCUUGUGAGCAGCAAACCUCUAUCAAGAAAAUCAUGAUAGGAAAUGCAAGCACGGGAAUAUCGUAUCAAUUGGGAGAUAUAUACCCCGUAUGCAGGUGCUGCUGGAAUGUUGCUACUUAGAAAUGGAAAGUUCACAAUUGGAAAGCUGAAAUCAUCUCUUUUGUUGUAAAGUUUUGUUUUCAACCGACCCUCAUUGUCAAUUUCUAGAUGUAAGUCAAGAUAUGAAGCCGAC
rnacentral:lncRNA from 1 species